UGCCACCACUGUUGGCCAGGUUGUGUUCUUAUACUGACUGUAUAGAAAGAGGAGGCAGAAUAAACCUAUUCCAUAUACACCUCAUCCUAGGCCAUUAUGCCUGGUCUGUAUUGUGAAUGAGGAGACAUGG